rnacentral:rRNA from 1 species
UACGUAGGGGGCAAGCGUUGUCCGGAUUUAUUGGGCGUAAAGAGCGUGUAGGCGGCCUGAAAGGUCAGCUGUGAAAACUCGAGGCUCAACCUCGAGACGUCGGUUGAAACCAUCUGGCUAGAGUCCGGAAGAGGAGUGUGGAAUUCCCGGUGUAGUGGUGAAAUGCGUAGAGAUCGGGAGGAACACCAGUGGCGAAGGCGGCUUGCUGGGCCGGACCUGACGCUGAGACGCGAAGGCGUGGGGAGCGAACGGG